UUUUUCAAUUUUCAACGUAAAUGAUAAAUCGCGUUUUCAUUUAAUUUGCACACAAAAAAGAAAAAAAAUGAAGCUUUUGGUACGUGUGAUCGAAGCGCGAAAUCUACGCGCAUUGGAUCUUAAUGGUUCAAGUGAUACUUAUGUUCGGUUACACCUGGGAAAGCAAAAAUUUAAGACGAAGGUGUUGAAGAAGAACUUGAAUCCUUCUUGGGGCGAGGAGUUCAGUUUUGGGGUUGAGGACCUCCGUGAAAAGCUCGUUGUCUCUGUUCUAGUCGAGGAUAAAUACUUCAACGACGACUUCGUGGGCAAGCUCAAAGUGCCCGUUUCCAAGGUUUUCGACGCCGAGAAUAAGUCUCUCGGCACUACCUGGUAUCCUCUGAAACCCAAGAAUAAGAAGAAGUCCAAGAACAAAGAAUGUGGCGAAAUUCUUCUCACCAUAUCUUUAUCUCAAAACAACUCUUUCUUAGACGAGAAAUUGUCCCGUACUGGUGAUAAUGUGCCACAAAUGAGGAAUUCUGUCGACUUAAUAAGUGAAUCAUUUUCUGGAUCCCCCAGUGGACCCUUAAAAUCCCCUUAUGCAGCGGGAAUGGAGGAGACCAUUUCUGCAAAGGAUGAAAAAAUGUCAUCACAGACACUUAGUGGUCUGAUAGCUCAAAUUUUUCUUAAACAGGGGGAAACAAUAUCUCCUAGCGCUAGCAGUAGAAGUAUUGCUACCGUGGACUCACCUGAGACGUCCAAAGUUGAAGUUAAUGAGAAUAAAUCCGAAGAACAGUCCUUUGGUGGCAAUUUUGAAGAAGCAAUAAGGAGCAUGUCAGAAAGAGAUCAAGGUGGGGAGGUACCUGGCAAUUUACCAGGAGGGAUACUUCUCGAUCAAUCUUAUAUUAUUGCACCGUCCAGCUUGAAUUCUCUACUCUUCUCACCUGAUUCAGAUUUCCAGAAAUCGUUGGCAGAGGUGCAAGGAACCACUGAAAUCCAACAAGGACCUUGGAGAUGUGACAAUUGCACGGAGAACUUAAAAAGAGUAAUUACAUACACAAAGGCUGCAACUAAAUUGAUCAAGGCUGUGAAAGCAACCGAAGAACAGGUAUAUCUGAAAGCUGAUGGGAAGGUUUUUGCAGUUUUGUCAAGCGUAAGCACACCAGAUGUUAUGUAUGGGAGCACCUUCAAGACGGAAUUGCUCUUCUGUAUUACACCUGGACCUGAGCUGCCUAGAGAAGAACUAUCAUCACGGUUGAUAAUAUCAUGGCGCAUGAACUUUAUACAGAGCACUAUGAUGAAAAGUAUGAUAGAAGGUGGGGCACGACAAGGUCUUAAGGACAGCUUUGAGCAGUUUGCUGAUUUGUUAUCUCAAAAUGUUAAGAAGGUUGAUUUGAAGGACCUUGGGUCCGACAAGGAGCUGGUUUUGGCUUCUUUGCAGGUGGAGCCACAGUCAGGUUGGAAGCUCGCAUUCCAAUAUUUUGCAAAUUUUACAGUAGUUUCUACUAUUGUUAUGGGAGUGUAUGUAAUCGCACACAUCUUAUUAGCCAUGCCCAGCUUGGUCCAAGGGCUUGAGUUUGUAGGGCUUGACUUGCCAGACUCAGUUAGUGAAGUGAUUGUAAGUGGAAUUCUUGUUCUUCAGAGCCAACGCCUUUUGGGGUUGAUAGCCCGUUUCCUGCAGGCCAGAGUUCAGAAAGGUAGUGAUCAUGGCAUCAAAGCACAAGGGGAUGGGUGGCUACUAACUGUUGCCUUGAUUGAGGGAAGUAAUAUAGCAGCUGUUGAUUCAAAAGGGUUUUCUGAUCCAUAUGUGGUCUUUACUUGCAAUGGUAAAACUAGAUCGAGCUCUAUCACUUUUCAGAAAGCUGAUCCUGAAUGGAAUGAAAUAUUUGAAUUUGAUGCAAUGGAUGAGCCUCCUUCUGUGUUGGAUGUGGAAGUUUAUGAUUUUGAUGGAUCCUUUGUUGAAGCCGAAUGUCUUGGCCAUGCUGAAAUCAAUUUUGUAAAAUCUAAUAUAUCAGACCUUGCGGAUGUUUGGAUCCCUCUUCAAGGAAGAUUAGCUCAAGCAUGUCAGUCUAAACUGCACCUAAGAAUAUUUUUGAACAAUACAAGAGGUAGCAAUGUUGUUAAGGAGUAUCUAGUAAAGAUGGAGAAGGAGGUUGGGAAAAAGAUAAAUUUGCGGUCACCUCAAACAAAUUCAGCAUUCCAGAAACUGUUCGGGCUUCCACCCGAGGAAUUUCUUAUCAAUGAUUUUACUUGUCACUUGAAGCGCAAAAUGCCACUGCAGGGUCGCCUCUUUCUGUCAGCAAGAAUAAUUGGGUUCCACACAAGCUUGUUUGGACAUAAAACCACAUUCUUCUUUCUCUGGAAGGACAUAGAAGAUAUUCAAGUUUUUCCUGCUACACUUGCCUCAAUGGGCAGUCCAUUCAUUAUCAUUACUCUUCAACAAGGCAGAGGUAUGGAUGCAAGGCAUGGUGCAAAGACACAAGAUGAACAAGGGAGACUGAAGUUCCAUUUCCAAGCUUUUGUAUCCUUCAAUGUUGCCAUUAGGACAAUCAUGGCUGUAUGGAAGGCGAAUUUCUUGAGUCCUGAGCAGAAGGUGGAAAUUGAUGAAGAAGAAUCUGAAACAAAGAACCUCCAAACUGAAGAUAAUGGCUCUAUCUUGGGUGUGGAGGAUGCCAGGAUGUCAGAGGUUUAUUCCUGUCUUCUUCCUGUUCCUAUCAACUUGCUAAUAGAAAUGUUUGGUGGAGGUCCCUUGGAGCGUAAAAUAAUGGAACAAGUUGGAUGUUCCAACUAUUGUUACACACCAUGGGAACUAGAGAAGGCUGACCUAUAUGAAAGGCAAAUUUCUUACAUAUUGGACAAAUCUCUUUUUCGUUACAGUGGAGAAGUGACAAGCACUCAGCAAAAGUCUCCUCUUUCUGAUAGAAAUGGAUGGAUCAUUGAAGAGGUCAUGACAAUCCAAGGAGUUCCACUUGCUGAUCAUUUUACUCUUCACUUAAGAUAUCAAAUUCAGGAUCUCGCCUCCAGAUCUAAGGGAUGUCUAUAUGUUCAAGUAUUCUUUGGCAUUGGGUGGCUGAAAAGCACCAAACAUCAGAAAAAGAUAAAAAAGAGUAUCUCAUCAAAUCUGCAAGAUCGCCUGAAGAAGAUGUUCAGUCUAUUUGAGAAAGAGUAUGUUACAGGAAUGUAGAAUUUGGGGCAUCAGUGCAGGAUUAUUAUGAUGAAACUUCACUGGGUUAUUUUUCUGAUGCAUUGUUUGAUGAUCAACAAACAUACUCUGUUUCAUGCAUGGAUUCAGAGGUAUCCAGUACUUUGGUGAAAUGGAUUUUUUGUGAUCCAAGUGCAGGCAAUAAUUACCUAUCUAUCUGAGAGGACUAGACAUCUAAAUGCUAAAAACUUUUGAUCUUCAUCUUGCCGAUAUGCUGCAUCAAUAUGGUUUGUGUAAACCAUUCUAGAAUGGAUGUCAUUACAGGAAAGUUUUUGGAUUGGCGAUGCAGAUGUCCAUAAGGAGCUUAAUUUAACAUAUCCUAUGAUCAUACAGUCACAAAAGGACCUAUCUGAAUGGGGUUUUCACAGUGCUCAGCCUUGUUUCAACAGCUCUCCCUAUUACUCUCUAGCCUGAGAUUAUGACAGGAGCUAUGAAAGGUAUGUUAGAAACCUUAUGCCUAAUCAGAUAUUUGGCUUUGGGCCUUUCAACAUCUAGAUCUUUCAACCUUCAUUUAUGCAGUAUGAAUUCGAGUUUCCUCUGAAUUAAUUACAGAGUACUCAGACAUCCUUAAGCUACAAACCUUCAAAUCUAUCCAUGGGGCAAUUUUGUUCCAUGGAAUUAAAUCAGGCUUCUAGGGAACCCAUGUAUAUGCAAUGACCUAGUCCUGCAUUGAUGUAUGCUCAGUCUCAUGAGCAACUUAGACAUGCUGUUUUCCAGGCUCCUUUUUAUCACCAACCAUUAAGUUUUGAUUACUCCUAGAACCAUUAGAAAACAGAGGAUACCUGUAUAUCGUUACUCCUGCAGAUCGUUUCAUUUCCUUUCUGUUAGGUACUGCUGAGCGUAGGGAUGCAAUUGAUUUGUUUUUGAUGCACUACCCUUUUAGU